AGUGAACGCUGGCGGUAGGCCUAACACAUGCAAGUCGAACGGCAGCACAGUAAGAGCUUGCUCUUACGGGUGGCGAGUGGCGGACGGGUGAGGAAUAUAUCGGAAUCUACUUUUUCGUGGGGGAUAACGUAGGGAAACUUACGCUAAUAUCGCAUACGACCUUCGGGUGAAAGCAGGGGAUCUUCGGACCUUGCGCGAUUGAACGAGCCGAUGUCGGAUUAGCUAGUUGGCGGGGUAAUGGCCCACCAAGGCGACGGUCCGUAGCUGGUCUGAGAGGAUGAUCGGCCACACUGGAACUGAGACACGGUCCAGACUACUACGGGAGGCAGCAGUGGGGAAUAUUGGACAAUGGGCGCAAGCCUGAUCCAGCCAUACCGCGUGGGUGAAGAAGGCCUUCGGGUUGUAAAGCCCUUUUGUUGGGAAAGAAAAGCAGCAGGUUAAUACCCCGCUGUUCUGACGGUACCCAAAGAAUAAGCACCGGCUAACUUCGUG
rnacentral:rRNA from 1 species